CCUACGGGAGGCAGCAGUGGGGAAUAUUGCACAAUGGUGGGAACCCUGAUGCAGCGACGCCGCGUGGGUGAGGAAGUACUUCGGUAUGUAAAGCCCUAUCAGCAGGGAAGCAAAUGACGGUACCUGACUAAGAAUCCCCGGCUAACUACGUGCCAACAGCGGCGGUAAUACGGAGGGGGCAAGCGUUAUCCGGAUUUACUGGGUGUAAAGGGAGCGUAGACGGCGUGCCAAGUCUGGUGUGAAAGGCCGGGGCUCAACCCCGGGACUGCCUUGGAAACUGGCAGGCUCGAGUGCCGGAGGGGCAAGCGGAAUGCGUGGUGUAGCGGUGAAAUGCGUAGAUAUUAGGAGGAACACCGGUGGCGAAGGCGGCUUGCUGGACGGUAACUGACGUUGAGGCUCGAAAGCGUGGGGAGCAAACAGGAUUAGAUACCCGAGUAGUC
rnacentral:rRNA from 1 species